GCCCGGGUGGUGGAAUUGGUAGACACAAGGGACUUAAAAUCCCUCGGCCCAGCGGCCGUGCCGGUUCGACCCCGGCUCCGGGUACCA
rnacentral:tRNA from 2 species